CCCUAUUAUUUUAGGAUGUUAAUUUUUGUGUCGGAGUAGUACUAGUUAUGUUCUUGAAACUUAAAGAAUUUGGCGGUAUCUUAUUCCGUUCAGAGGAAUCUGUCUCGUUAUCGAUAGUCCGCGUUGGACCUUACUUGGUUGCCACGGUUUGUAUACCGCCGUUUAUUGAUUAUGCUUUUAGGGUUUUUAAUUUUCUGGUUUCUUUAUUUUGAUUUAUUUCAGGUCAAGGUGCAGCUUGUUUCUAAGUGUUUUUGAUGGAUUACAUUGGUUUGUUGUUGUUUGGAUUAUCAGUUGAAUUAUUGGUAUGAAAUUGGAUUUGAUUGUAAUGUUUUGUAGAUUGUUUUCGUGAUAAUUGGUUCUAAGAUAUGUACACAUCGCCCGUCGCUCUCGUUUGAUUGUUAAUGAGAUAAGUC
rnacentral:rRNA from 1 species